rnacentral:rRNA from 1 species
UACGAAGGGUGCAAACGUUGCUCGGAAUCAUUGGGCGUAAAGCGCACGUAGGCGACUUGCCAAGUCGGACGUGAAAUCCCUCAGCUCAACUGAGGACGUGCAUCCGAAACUGGCGAGCUUGAGUGCUGAAGAGGAUCGCGGAAUUCCCGGUGUAGAGGUGAAAUUCGUAGAUAUCGGGAGGAACACCAGUGGCGAAGGCGGCGAUCUGGGCAGACACUGACGCUGAGGUGCGAAAGCGUGGGGAGCAAACAGG